GACGAACCGUACGAACGUUAUUCGGAAUCACUGGGCUUAAAGGGUGCGUAGGCUGCGCGGAAAGUUGGGUGUGAAAUCCCUCGGCUCAACCGAGGAACUGCGCCCAAAACUGCCGUGCUCGAGGGAGACAGAGGUGAGCGGAACUUAGGGUGGAGCGGUGAAAUGCGUUGAUAUCCUAAGGAGCACCGGUGGCGAAAGCGGCUCACUGGGUCUCUUCUGACGCUGAGGCACGAAAGCUAGGGUAGCGAACGGG
rnacentral:rRNA from 1 species